AGGGAAAUAACAUGAGAGUGCACAAGGCUCAUCCCUUCGGCUGUCCCGGGACAGACAUACUGAUUUGCUGCUUAGAAGUCCUUUACAAUGGGAUGUGGCUACUGAGGAAUUUUUGAGAGCCAGUGAGCGUCAGCAGCUGUGGAGGGGGGUGAAGAAUGCGCCAUGACUUUACCUUACUCAGUCCACGGAACACCUGACACUCUGCCCAUAAGUUCCUGUUCUCUGUAUAGAGCUCUGCACUAUGUUUUCAUCGACAAUUUUAUCACAUCUGUAAUAUCAUGGCUGCCACAAUAUCGCAGUCACCAUUUAAUGGGCAAAAUGUCACCAACAACACAACAUGGCUGCAUUAAUGUCGCACGCAACAUAGCUGCCAGGGGGCAAACUCAGGUUAACCCACUUGGAUGCCAGAAAGGGCUUCAAAAUAUUGUAAAGAAAAAUGCAGCAGCCUUUUCUGGUAUCCAACGGGUCAACUCUAACGGCCGACUACCACAGUAUAGCCAGAUGCAUCUGUCAUUGUGAUUGUUUACCACAACAUUCUCUAACAAAAAUGUCAUGAGCCGCAAGAGGGGUCUACAUCCAAAAUGAUGCCCACAAGAGACUGGGAACAGACCAUUGGUGAGGGGAUGAACAAAGCGUUAGAUGUGUUUGGUGAUUUCUCUGAGCAUAAUAUAAACAGAUUCUCUUCUCAUCCACAAACCUCUGCUGUUUCAGCAGUUAAAGGGUGUUUAAAAAAAAUACAGUAGCAGCAACUGCUGUAAAAAAUGCCAAAACAAUCAAAUUAAAGGGACACUGUACUGUAAAA